CAGUAGCCGCGGUAAUACAGAGGGUGCGAGCGUUAAUCGGAUUUACUGGGCGUAAAGCGUGCGUAGGCGGCUAAUUGAGUCGGAUGUGAAAUCCCCGAGCUUAACUUGGGAAUUGCAUUCGAUACUGGUUAGCUAGAGUGUGGGAGAGGAUGGUAGAAUUCCAGGUGUAGCGGUGAAAUGCGUAGAGAUCUGGAGGAAUACCGGUGGCGAAGGCGGCCCCCUGGACAAAGACUGACGCUCAGGUGCGAAAGCGUGGGGAGCAAACAGGAUUAGAUACCCCUGUAGUCCCUGUCUCUUAUAC
rnacentral:rRNA from 1 species